UGACUGUGUGUGUAUGGCUUGACUAUGUGUGUGAUUGUGUGUGAAUAUUGCAUUUGCUUGACGGUGUGGUUUGUAUAACUUGUGUUUUACAUGUCAGGAUUGAUUGUUGUUUGUUGAAUUUGAACAGAUCUAACACUAUUCUUUUUUCUAAACUUUUUUGUGAUUAUGUCUUAUGUGGAUACCAUACUCUUUUUUGUAUUAUUGUUGUCCAGUCACUGGAAUAACGCUUUUCUAAGUAUUUAAGGUACAACCAUGUAGAUCUAGACAUGAUGCUGAUGGGUUGGGUUUGCAUACAAUGCAGUAUGGACCAACAAAAUGGUCUCAUUGCAAGGUGGACAUAUAGGCAAGACAUGUCAAGAGAGAGAGAAGCUUGGACUAUUGAGGAGGAACAUGCACUGAUUAAUGCCCAUCGGGUAUAUGGGAAUAGAUGGGCAGAAAUAGCAAAAGUUCUUCCUAGAAGGAAUCGGGUACUUCUAUUUGUUCUUAGGUUCUUCUCACCUAUAGUUAAAGUCAAAGAAAACAAAACCAAGUGGAUUAUUGGAGUUACAAGAUACACAAAAUCAUCGGUCAUCUAAAUCUUCUUUUCUAAUAUGAUUGUUGGUGCUACUCAUGAGGCUAGCCACCGGCUUGGAAGCAAUGAGAGGCAAUCACUGUUGUCAAUUUGAAACGUAUAAUUUUUUAGGAACGAAGAUCUGAAUCACCCUCACGCCUCGAGAGAAAUCAGUUUAGUCAUUCAGUAUGGACCAACAAAAUGGUCUCAUUGCAAGGUGGACAUAUAGGCAAGAAAUGUCAAGAGAGAGAGAAGCUUGGACUAUUGAGGAGGAACAUGCACUGAUUAAUGCCCAUCGGGUAUAUGGAAAUAGAUGGGCAGAAAUAGCAAAAGUUCUUCCUAGAAGGAAUCGGGUACUUCUAUUUGUUCUUAGGUUCUUCUCACCUAUAGCUAAAGUCAAAGAAGACAAAACCAAGUGGAUUAUUGGAGUUACAAGAUAUACAAAAUCAUCGGUCAUCUAAAUCUUCUUUUCUAAUAUGAUUGUUGGUGCUGCUCAUGAGGCUAGCCACCGGCUUGGAAGCAAUGAGAGGCAAUCACUGUUGUCAACUUGAAACGUAUAAUUUUUUAGGAACGAAGAUCUGAAUCACCCUCACGCCUCGAGAGAAAUCAGUUUAGUCAUUCAGGUUCUGGUAUUUCUUUAUAGCUUUCUGAGUUUACUUCGGUCUUUCAUGUAUUUGCUUUCUGUUUGUGUCCCUAUCUAUUUAUGUUUCUUGUGUGCAAGCGCUCCAUUUUGUGUGUGUCUGACUUUGUGUGGCUUGACUCUCUUGUGUGUGUGGCUUGACUGUCUGUGUGUGUCACUGUGUGUUUGACUUUGUGUGAAUAUUGCAUUUGAUUGUGAUGCGUUACUGUGUGUUUAACUCUGUGUGUGUGAUUGUGUGAAUAUUGUGCAUUUGACUGAUGUGUGACUGUGUGAGUAUUGUAUUUUGAUAAUGAUUGUGUGUGGCUUGACUGUGUGUGUGGCUUGUCUGCUUUGCUGAAUGAUUGGUUGUUGUGGCUUAACACUGCCUCUGCCGGUCCCAAGCCCGGAUGUGAAAAUGUGGAGGGAGUCUGUUUCUUGUGUGCAAGUGCUACAUUGUGUGUGACUGUGUGUGUGAUGUGUCCGUAUCUAUGUCUGUUUCUUUUGUCUUGAUUGUGUGCAAGUGCUUGAUUGGGUGUGUGCUUGUGUGACCAUGCGUGUAUUGCAUUUGCUUGACGGUGUGCUUUGUAUAACUUGUGUUUUAUAUGUCAGGAUUGAUUGUUGCUUGUUGAAUUUGAACAGAUCUAACACUAUUCUUUUUUCUAAACUUUUUUGUGAUUAUGUCUUAUGUGGAUACCAUACUCUUUUUUGUAUUAUUGUUGUCCAGUCACUGGAAUAACGCUUUUCUAAGUAUUUAAGGUACAUCCAUGUAGAUCUAGACAUGAUGCUGAUGGGUUGGGUUUGCAUACAAUGCAGUAUGGACCAACAAAAUGGUCUCAAUGCAAGGUGGACAUAUAGGCAAGAAAUGUCAAGAGAGAGAGAAGCUUGGACAAUUGAGGAGGACAUGCACUGAUUAAUGCCCAUCGGGUAUAUGGGAAUAGAUGGGCAGAAAUAGCAAAAGUUCUUCCUAGAAGGAAUCGGGUACUUCUAUUUGUUCUUAGGUUCUUCUCACCUAUAGCUAAAGUCAAAGACGACAAAACCAAGUGGAUUAUUGGAGUUACAAGAUACACAAAAUCAUCGGUCAUCUAAAUCUUCUUUUCUAAUAUGACUUUUGGUGCUGCUCAUGAGGCUAGCCACCGGCUUGGAAGCGAUGAGAGGCAAUCACUGUUGUCAACUUGAAAUGUAUAAUUUUUUAGGAACGAAGAUCUGAAUCACCCUCCCACCUCGAGAGAAAUCAGUUUAAUCAUUCAGGUUCUGAUUUCUUUAUUCAUGUAUUUGCUUUCUGUUUGUGCCCCUAUCUAUUUCUAUUUCUUGUGUGCAAGCGCUCCAUUCUGUGUGUGUCCGACUUUGUGUGGCUUGACGCUCUUGUGUGUGGCUUCACUGUCAGUGUGUGUCACUGUGUGUUUGACUGUGUGUGAAUAUUGUAUUUGACUGUGAUGCGUUACUGUUUGUUUGACUCUGUGUGUGUGAUUGUGUGAAUAUUGUGCAUUUGACUGUGCUGUGUGAUUGUGUGAGUAUUGUAUUUUGACAAUGACUGUGUGUGGCUUGACUGUGUGUGUGUGGCUUGUAUGCUUUGCUGAAUGAUUGGUUGUUGUGGCUUAACACUGUCUCUGCCGGUCCCAAGCCCGGAUGUGAAAAUGUGGAGGGAGUCUAUUUCUUGUGUGCAAGUGCUACAUUGUGUGUGUGACUGUGUGUGUGAUGUGUGCGUAUCUAUCUCUGUUUCUUUUGUCUUGAUUGUGUGCAAGUGCUUGAUUGGGUGUGUGCUUGUGUGACCAUGCGUGUAUUGCAUUUGCUUCACGGUGUGGUUUGUAUAACUUGUGUUUUAUAUGUCAGGAUUGAUUGUUGUUUGUUGAAUUUGAACAGAUCUAACACUAUUCUUUUUUCUAAUCUUUUUUGUGAUUAUCUUAUGUGGAUACCAUACUCUUUUUUGUAUUAUUGUUGUCCAGUCACUGGAAUAACGCUUUUCUAAGUAUUUAAGGUACAACCAUGUAGAUCUAGACAUGACGCUGAUGGGUUGGGUUUGCAUACAAUGCAGUACGGACCAACAAAAUGGUCUCAUUGCAAGGUGGACAUAUAGGCAAGACAUGUCAAGAGAGAGAGAAGCUUGGACUAUGGAGGAGGAACAUGCACUGAUUAAUGCCCAUCGGAUAUAUGGGAAUAGAUGGGCAGAAAUAGCAAAAGUUCUUCCCUGAAGGAAUCGGGUACUUCUAUUUGUUCUUAGGUUCUUCUCACCUAUAGCUAAAGUCAAAGAAGACAAAACCAAGUGGAUUAUUGGAGUUACAAGAUACACAAAAUCAUCGGUCAACUAAAUCUUCUUUUCUAAUAUGACUGUUGGUGCUGCUCAUGAGGCAAG